rnacentral:rRNA from 1 species
AAAUUGAAGAGUUUGAUCAUGGCUCAGAUUGAACGCUGGCGGCAGGCCUAACACAUGCAAGUCGAACGGUAACAGGAAGCAGCUUGCUGCUUCGCUGACGAGUGGCGGACGGGUGAGUAAUGUCUGGGAAACUGCCUGAUGGAGGGGGGUAACUACUGGAAACGGUGGCUAAUACCGCAUAACGUCGCAAGACCAAAGAGGGGGACCUUCGGGCCUCUUGC